GCCUCUAAAAAAUGUAAGCAGUUGCUCAGCAUGUUCUGUGGUGAGCUGUCACUAGUUUAAAGGUACUGCUAUUUUGGUUUUACUAACAGGCUCUUUACUCCUUGCAGGGCUGUACCAAAGAGCAGAGCCAGGCUCUUGUAGCCAGCUCUGGUUGCAGCAUGGUGCUGUGUCUCCUUCUGCUCCUUUUUUCCUCCCUUUUUGGAGGGAGCCACGGGUUCUUUGUGGGUUGCUCCCCAGCACGGCCUGGGGCUGGCUCCCGAGGUGCUGGCAGGAACCAGGAGGCAGAGGCUGUCCCAAAGAGCCCCCAGCACGGCCACGCUCUCUUCUGAUACCAUCUGCCGUGGAUGCCCGAUUACCCUUCUGAAAGCACCCCUCCCACCAGGCAAACCUAGAGAUGAUGUAAGAAGGCAACCUGGCAGGUGCUUAUUUCAGUAACUUAUUUAAAUUCUGGUGUUUUGCAGUAGUAAACAGUCCUUGCUGAGGGCCCUGCUGCUAACCCCGUGGAGGUGACCGCUCUGGCCACAAGCACUGCGCUGGGGUCAGCCAGAGCCAGCACACACACACGUGCUCCCACCCGGUGGCUCCGCAGCACCCAUGAGCGUGGCAGAGCCGAGCACCCCUCUCCUGCCACCAGACCAUCUCCAAUCAAAGCAAGCCACUGGCAUUUUACCAGGGCUUGCCACGCUGUGCUGCUGCUCCUGGCUGAGCCAGCAGAAACGCCUCCCAUGCUCCCAGCUGCUCCUCCCGCAGUUCCAGCCAAGCACUGUGUGGCCGCACAGACCCAGCACCACCAAACGUGGCACCACGGCCACAGUUCCUGGAGACAACUGGCAUGCCUGCUGAGACCUUGCCCUGAGAAAUGACACGCACUGAGGAACGGAGAGCGCUUCAGGGAACCGCGAGCCGCUGCUGGAAUGCGAGCUCCCAAAGGUCCCUGCAGGGCCAGCGCUGAUGAAGAAAUAACAUCAAUUUCUCUCUUCUCACCACCGUGCCCAGGAGGAGCUCCCUGCCCUGUUGCACACCAGGGGUUGUUUUCCAUGGGCAAUCCUGGCAUCUUUGACCCCUGUCUGGCCCUGGGGGUCGUUGUGGUCUCCAUGGUGUGGGUCUGCUCAGCCCCACCCAGCCAGAGGGGACGGAGCCCCAUGGGGAUGCCCAGGCUGGGGGGCUCUAGCAGCGAUCCUGGAAAGGCUGAGCUUCAGAAUGUUUGUGAUCUUUUCAUUUCACCUAAACUAGGAUUUUUUAGAGAGGGAAAGCAUUGAAGUCUGUCCUCCUCUAACCAGAUAAAGGCCAGGACAGAUUUUCAGCCUCCUGUUUUCACUUUCCUUAUUAGAUACUACUUGCACAAAGGAAAAAAUGCUUGUGAGCCCUCACCCUGCAGUGACUGGGAUUUGGCUCCUGUCUCGCUUCGGUGCUGGCUGCAGGGGUGUCCUGCCCUCCUGGGUGUGCAGCAGGCAGGUGGCAGAGGGAUCAGGGAGCAGAAGGAGCAAGCAGGCAGAGGCGUAAAGGUGACUGAGUGCCUUUCGGAGAAAGGAAAAGGGAGGGGAGGUUGGUUCUUUCCAAAUCAGAGCCACCUAUCUCUAGGGUUUCCAAGUCCAGAGUACUUUGCAUUGAUACACAAAGGAGCAGGCUGUCCUGGUGACUUUGGCUGCCUGUGGGGACAGCCCAGUUCAACCAUCAACAGAACCUCGGUCCCAGCAGGAGCUGCCCCAGCUCCCCCAGGGCUGAUCCACCUCUGCAGGUUUGUGGCUUUGCUGCUGCUGGUACAAAACUGCUUCAGCUGCCUGCUCCAGACUCCCUCCAGCCUAAUCCCUCUGGGAGCCAUCAGCUGAAGCCUCCAGCAGCAGUUAUUCCUUGUAAUUCCUUUCUGCUGGCAACUUCUUUCCUAACAGCAUGCGUCUGUCUGUCUUCUCAACCAGCAUCUCCUUAGCAAGCUGAGUGCUGACCUUCUUCCUCCACCUAAAACCCUCCCAAACCCUCCCAAUGUUUCAGCAUAAGUUCAGGGAGAAGGGGCAGGAGCUCAUUCCUCAUCUACUGAGUUUAACGCUCCAGUGCCUUUACUGGAGAUCUCGUGGUGCUGGGAGAAUUUAUCUGCCAAUUACUUCUCAAGAAAUAACAAAGGAUCAUGCAGUACUUGGCAGAUAAGGGCAGAGAGGGGGAAAGAGAACAGGUCUUUUUUUAAUUGAAUCUCAAGUAUGUUGAACAAAAACUUCAGAACUAUCAAUUAGCUGUUGGCCUGGGGCUAAAAUUUAAUUAGGAGAAUAGCGCUUUCAAACUGUCACUGUCUGGGAAGAAAAAAAAAAAAGCAUUAAAGGGAGCAGUAAAAAAUGGAAAUGUGAUGGGGAAGACAGAAAAGAGUUUGCUGGGAUGCUUGUGUUGAGCUGUUCCUUGUGCUAGCAGAGAUACAGGCUGCCCAAGUGCCCAUCCCUUGCCUCAGAAGUGCCCUAAUCCUAAACCCUAAUUUUAAUCCUAAAUUCCCAUCCCGUGUGGCUGCAUUACCUGGGUGUUACAUUGAGGUGCUUUUGUGCUUACUGGUCUGUUUUUUUGUCUGCAGAUGCUUUUGCAUUUUUUUUUUCUUUCUGAGCUGCUAUAGAAGAACUUGUUCUAAUGGGAAAAAAAUCUCUCUACUAGAGAAAAGGUUAUUACCAGCAAAUUUUUUCACUUCCUAGUUUCUUUUGCUAAGUAGAAUGCUUCUCUUGCGCUGUAGAAAAUGUAUUUCCCUUCUUUUCAAGAAGCAACUCCCAGAUUUCUUUGCAAAGCUUUCUUACUCAAGAGUAACAAAGAGGAACUUUGCUCCUGAAGUCCCAAUAUAUGCAAAAGAGCACAAAAUUACAUGAAUCCAUAAAUUCCAAACAAACACUAUUUCAUAAAUAUCUGCAAAACCAGUGUUCUCUCUUCUUAUCCUACAGUUAUUCUGGAGCAAAGCGGGCAGUUUAAUAAUCCACAAUAUAACAAUCAUACAUGCAAAGCCACCCUAUACCAAAAUGAAAUAGAUCCUGAACGCUUCCGUGCACAUUGGUGGGAAGUGAGGUCUUGUUCUGGCUCGCCCAGGGAAGUUAUUUUCCAUAGACACAGAACAGUUACUUAAAGUCUUGUGCUCUUAAAAAUAUCUCACGGAUCUUUUCCCAAGUAAGAUGUAAGCCUGUGAUUUAACACUCUGGGUUGCUGUAAAGCAGUGUCGGGUGCUGAGGCUGAAUUGGCUGCUCAAAGAAGAAUUGUUUACAGUCACUUCAGGGUUAUUGGUGGCUGACUUCUAUUUUAUUUGGCAAGAGCCUUGGCAUUUGGCUCAUCUGUAAUCUCUUAUGUUUUACUCCCAGUCCAGAUAGUCUCUUGUGAGUCUGGGGCAAAUGUUCUUGGGCUGGUUUCUUGAAUGUGUCAGGUUAUGAAUAUCCUCUUCGCUUACAAAUGACAGCAGCAGCGAGUACUAUUAAUGCCUUAUAGGCAAUGCCACCUAUCACAAAACACUUUACAGACUUUUAUGAAUUAUUCUCAGGAAAUAAGAGAAUUGUUUCACCUGCCAUUGAAACGCAGCUGUAGCUGGGACAACGUGCUGCUUGAUGGUAUGUAGCUACACUACACCAGGGCUUACAGGAUGAGGUUACCAAAGGCUAUCCAGCCAAAGCAACUGCAGGAAUUUAGACAGGAAAGGUAAGAUUAUUCAAAAGAAAUUCAGGCCACAGAGUUGGAAGUAUUACUAUUACCUUAAGGAACACAGAUUUUUAAUUUGAUCAUUUUUUCUGUAACAAAUCCAACUGGCCUGGACCUUGGGUUUACAUGCUACCAGCACGGCCAUAUCUCCGGGAGCACGGGGUGAGGUCCCUGACGCCCAGCUUCAGCCAUGCAUAAUUCACAAAUCUCCAUCUGAGAGAGUCAGACUGGUCUCUUUAGAGUCAUGGUGAGGAAGGGUCACAUCUAGGGAGAUAUUCAUCUCCUCUCCUUCCUCAGACCACUACCCUGAGAAGAGAGGAGCUGCUUCUUGGAAGUGCCCAGAUGUCCCCAUUAUCUCUGACAAUGCUCCAGAGGAGCAGCUCACGUGGGUGUCUAUCUUAUAGGCACCUGCCUUUGGGAAGGGGAUCCUCACCCCCUAAGAAACCUGCUCCAGUGGUUUUUUUCUCCAUUGAGUGCCCUUCUCUUCCUGGAUUUCCUUCCAGUGCUCUGGCCCAACUCAACAAACAGCUGCACUUGCACGUAACACAGAAUGGCGUUGUGCUGCUAUAUUUAACUACAGAUUCUUUAAAAAUGCUAAGCAUUGACCUGCGCCUAACACUUCAACAAACAAGAAUAAAUUAGCAUUAAGGAAAAGCAAAUUAAUUCACCUCUAAGAAUCUGUUUUGUUAAAUGCCCUGGAGAGGUAUUAACUCAAGCUUGCCGCAAUGCCAAAGCGAUUUCUGUUGGCGCUUUCCCAGCACGGUGCGUGCAGCCACAUAGCUCCUGCGUUGUUUCAGGGUCCUGGUAUUUAUUUGGCAGGCCUGCUUUUCCUUGCAGGUGCCGGGAGGCUGUUCAGCUCUUCUUGUUCGGUGAGGAGAUCCGAGCUGCCGUGAGAGCAGUCCUUCGUGAUGCUGUAGUACACCGGGGCGCUGUGCGGCACGGGGUUCUUGGUGCUCUUCUGCUCGCACUCCCAGAGCUUCCUGAAGGCAGCCCUGAAUUUCUGGGACAUGAGGUUGUAGAUGAUGGGGUUGAUGGCGCUGUUCAGGUAGAUGCACGUCCGGCAGAAGAGCAGGAACCAGAUGUUCAGAUAUGGCGGGUCCAUGAAGGAGUUCACCACCACCAGUGUGCGGUAAGGCAUCCACAGGAGGGCGAAGAGCACCACCACCACUGCCAGCAUUUUGGUCACCUUGUUAGAGGGAAUAGGCAAAAAGAGAAAUAGGCAAAUGGUGCUGAAGCGCCAGCAGAACCUUCCCACCUCUAACUGCACAGACAGUUCCCUCUGGUUUUGAGGCAGUGUUGCCAUCGCUAUCAGAAAAUCAGAGAGGACAUCUUUCUUCUGGUGAAGAAGACCCAGGACACCGGUGUCUAGACUUCUGGACCAUUGCACGGGGGCUUUUUGCCACUGACUUCCUCAGGAGCAGGUCACAGAGGUGAACCUGGCCCAGAGAAGGCCAUUCUGGUCCCUUCUGUGCCUCACGUCCCAUCUUCAGGCUCUUCCCUACAGCCACAAGGGCUGGCACCCACCUGCUAAAGCUGACCUGGGGGGACUCUCCUGGUUCCAGGCUGAGGGUGCUGUGGGGCCGUAGCACCCCCAGGAAUGCUCUCCUCUCUGCUCGCUGCUUCUCCCAUCCUGUAUCUCUAUCUGCCAGCUCUGCUGGACCAAAUUCAUCCAGCUGCCUUCAGCCUCAGACUAGACCCGGCUCGGUGAUGUGCCCUGCUCUCCUCCCACACGCUGCAGUGGCUCAUGCAAGCGGCACUCGUGUGGUCCCUGCUGUCCCCAUGCAGGAAGACAGCUUCGAGGCAGAGUUCUGUGCUGACCCCACGGGGCUCCCAGGAGACCUCCUUCCUCCCUGCCUGGUUGAUCGGUUGUUUUUUCCCUUGUAACUUAGAUGCAGAGCCGUGACUCACUGCAGCCAUAGCAUCAGGAUACAUUGCUCCGGCUGGGUUUCCAGCAGCACUGGGGGAGAUGCUCUGGCAGGACGCAGGUUCGUUAUGCUCAGAGCACUCCUCUUCAUGCUGCCCAAAGCUCUCAUCAAAAUAUCGGUGUGGUUUCACUUGGCUUUGGUGCACAGUCUUACUGGACAGUCGUAUAAAUUUCUUAUGAUUAUAUAUAUAAAAUGAAGUGACCAUGUCCUGUGUCAUAACCAUCUACGGAAAGAUGUUUAUGGAGAUCACUGGACCAGGGUUUGUAUCACAACCACCUCUGAGGUGCAGCAAGACAUCCAUCUGACAGAUGACCAAACCAUGUGGCCCAGCUGGGGUUUCUUUCUCCUUUGCUGUCUCAUCACAGGCUGCCUCAAAGUGCUGCUGCUGUGGUCAGAAGGAAGCAGUAACCAGGACGUGGCUGGAAGCCCCAUGAAACAAAACUGCUCAGAAACAGAAGUUUGGAGUCACCUUGCCUGCCAGUAUUUUAGCUGCUAUUUGUGCUUCACGAAUAGCUUAUGAGCAGCUUGGAUCCAGGAUUCUCCUUUAUUUCAUGCUGCCAUGAAUAUUAGAAGUAUGCUCUGAACUGGGAGCAUGGUCGAUACCUCCCUGAAGCCUCCAAAGUCCAGUGAGGUGGAAGCAAAUUCUCCCAAAUAUGAUAGUUACAGUCAAAAGCACUGAUACCCUUGUAUCUCUGCAAGGUAGGAGGUGAGGAUCGAACAGAUUUACA